AUAGUGGUGGCUCAGUGGUUAAGGCUCUGGGUUACUGCACACCCAUUAACCCAGAAGGUUGGGGUUUGAACCCCACCACCACC